rnacentral:rRNA from 1 species
CCUACGGGAGGCAGCAGUAGGGAAUCUUGCACAAUGGGCGAAAGCCUGAUGCAGCAACGCCGCGUGGGUGAAGAAGGUCUUCGGAUCGUAAAACACUUUUGUUAGGGAGGAAAGUGCGUAAGAGUAACUGUUCACGUUUCGACGGUAUCUAACCAGAAAGCAACGGCUAACUCCGUGCCAGCAGCCGCGGUAAUACGAAGGGGGCAAGCGUUAACCGGAUUUAUUGGGCGUAAAGGGAACGCAGGCGGUCUGUUAAGUCUGAUGUGAAAGCCGUCGGCUUAACCGGGGUAGUGCAUUUGAUACUGGGAGACUUGAGUGCAGAAGAGGAGGGUGGAACUCCAGGUGUAGCGGUGAAAUGCGUAGAUAUAUGGAAGAAUACCAGUGGCGAAAGCGGCUCCCUGGUCUGUAACUGACGCUGAGGUUCGAAAGCGUGGGGAGCAAACAGGAUUAGAUACCCUUGUAGUC